rnacentral:rRNA from 1 species
UAGGGAAUCUUCGGCAAUGGGGGGAACCCUGACCGAGCAACGCCGCGUGAGUGAAGAAGGUUUUCGGAUCGUAAAGCUCUGUUGUUAAGGAAGAACGAGUGUGAGAAUGGAAAGUUCAUGCUGUGACGGUACUUAACCAGAAAGGGACGGCUAACUACGUGCCAGCAGCCGCGGUAAUACGUAGGUCCCGAGCGUUGUCCGGAUUUAUUGGGCGUAAAGCGAGCGCAGGCGGUUAGAAAAGUCUGAAGUGAAAGGCAGUGGCUCAACCAUUGUAGGCUUUGGAAACUGUUUAACUUGAGUGCAGAAGGGGAGAGUGGAAUUCCAUGUGUAGCGGUGACAUGCGUAGGUAUAUGGAGGAACACCGGUGGCGAAAGCGGCUCUCUGGUCUGUAACUGACGCUGAGGCUCGAAAGCGUGGGGAGCGAACAGG